GGUGAGAGGAGCUUGCUCCUUGGAUCAGUGGCGAACGGGUGAGUAACACGUGAGCAAUCUGCCCUUGACUCUGGGAUAACUGCGGGAAACUGUAGCUAAUACCGGAUAUUACCUUGGAAGGCAUCUUCUGGGGUGGAAAGAAUUUUGGUCAAGGAUGAGCUCGCGGCCUAUCAGCUAGUUGGUGAGGUAAUGGCUCACCAAGGCGACGACGGGUAGCCGGCCUGAGAGGGUGACCGGCCACACUGGGACUGAGACACGGCCCAGACUCCUACGGGAGGCAGCAGUGGGGAAUAUUGCACAAUGGGCGCAAGCCUGAUGCAGCAACGCCGCGUGAGGGACGAAGGCCUUCGGGUUGUAAACCUCUUUUAGUAGGGAAGAAGCGACUGGGUUUUCCUGGGAGUGACGGUACCUGCAGAAAAAGCACCGGCUAACUACGUGCCAGCAGCCGCGGUAAUACGUAGGGUGCAAGCGUUGUCCGGAAUUAUUGGGCGUAAAGAGCUCGUAGGCGGUUUGUCGCGUCUGCUGUGAAAACCCGAGGCUCAACCUCGGGCCUGCAGUGGGUACGGGCAGACUAGAGUGCGGUAGGGGAGAUUGGAAUUCCUGGUGUAGCGGUGGAAUGCGCAGAUAUCAGGAGGAACACCAAUGGCGAAGGCAGAUCUCUGGGCCGUAACUGACGCUGAGGAGCGAAAGCAUGGGGAGCGAACAGGAUUAGAUACCCUGGUAGUCCAUGCCGUAAACGUUGGGAACUAGAUGUGGGGACCAUUCCACGGUCUCCGUGUCGCAGCUAACGCAUUAAGUUCCCCGCCUGGGGGAGUACGGCCGCAAGGCUAAAACUCAAAGGAAUUUGACGGGGGCCCGCACAAGCGGCGGAGCAUGCGGAUUAAUUCGAUGCAACGCGAAGAACCUUACCAAGGCUUGACAUAUACCGGAAACGGCCAGAAAUGGUCGCCCCGCAAGGUCGGUAUACAGGUGGUGCAUGGUUGUCGUCAGCUCGUGUCGUGAGAUGUUGGGUUAAGUCCCGCAACGAGCGCAACCCUCGUCCUAUGUUGCCAGCACGUAAUGGUGGGAACUCAUGGGAUACUGCCGGGGUCAACUCGGAGGAAGGUGGGGAUGACGUCAAAUCAUCAUGCCCCUUAUGUCUUGGGCUUCACGCAUGCUACAAUGGCCGGUACAAAGGGCUGCGAUACCGCAAGGUGGAGCGAAUCCCAAAAAGCCGGUCUCAGUUCGGAUUGAGGUCUGCAACUCGACCUCAUGAAGUCGGAGUCGCUAGUAAUCGCAGAUCAGCAACGCUGCGGUGAAUACGUUCCCGGGCCUUGUACACACCGCCCGUCAAGUCAUGAAAGUCGGUAACACCCGAAGCCAGUGGCCGAACCCGUA
rnacentral:rRNA from 1 species